rnacentral:misc_RNA from 1 species
UACGGAGGGUGCAAGCGUUAUCCGGAAUCACUGGGCGUAAAGGGCGCGUAGGCGGUCUGUUAAGUCCGAUGUUAAAGACCGGGGCUCAACCCCGACACGGCGUUGGAUACUGGCAGGCUUGACGGCUGGAGAGGAAAGUGGAAUUACCAGUGUAGCGGUGAAAUGCGUAGAUACUGGUAGGAACACCCAUUGCGAAGGCAGCUUUCUGGACAGUUUGUGACGCUGAGGCGCGAAAGUGUGGGGAGCAAACCGG